UCCGGUUUGUCACCGGCAGUCUGAAGUGAGUCCCCAACUUAAUGCUGGCAACACUUCACGGGGGUUGCGCUCGUUGCGGGACUUAACCCAACAUCUCACGACACGAGCUGACGACAGCCAUGCAGCAUCUGUGGUGCACCCUCGAAGGUCACACGUUUCCGUGCGCUUGCAGCACCAUGUCAAGUCCAGGUAAGGUGGGGAUGACGUUUCCAGGUUAGG
rnacentral:misc_RNA from 1 species